rnacentral:rRNA from 1 species
UGAGGAAUUUUGCGCAAUGGGGGAAACCCUGACGCAGCGACGCCGCGUGGAGGAUGAAGUCCUUCGGGAUGUAAACUCCUGUCAGAGGGGAUGAUGAUGACAGUACCCUCAGAGGAAGCACCGGCUAACUCCGUGCCAGCAGCCGCGGUAAGACGGAGGGUGCAAGCGUUGUUCGGAAUUACUGGGCGUAAAGCGUACGUAGGUGGCGGAUUAAGUCGAAUGUUAAAGCCUGGGGCUCAACCCCAGAGAUGCAUUCGAUACUGGUUUGCUAGAGGGUGAUAGAGGAAAGCGGAAUUCCCAGUGUAGCGGUGAAAUGCGUAGAUAUUGGGAGGAACAUCAGUAGCGAAGGCGGCUUUCUGGGUCACACCUGACACUGAGGUACGAAAGCGUGGGGAGCAAACG